GAUGAACGCUGGCGGCGUGCCUAAUACAUGCAAGUCGAGCGAACAGACGCGGAGCUUGCUCCUCUGUCGUUAGCGGAGCACGGGUGAGUCACACGUGUAUCCCCUACCUAUCAGACUGGGAUAACUUGGGGACACCGGCUCUAAUACCGGAUAAUCUCUUGCACCGCGUGGUUCAAUGGAGAAAGACGGCUUUGCUGUAUCUUCUAGCUGGUUCUCAGCCGCAUUAGCUGGUUGUUACGGUCACGGCUUACCAAGGCAACGAUGCGUAGCCGACGUGAGGGGGUGAUCGGCCACAUGGGAGCGGAGACGCGGACCAUAGUACUACGGGAGGCAGCAGAAGGGAAUCGGCGGCAACGGUCGAAAGCAUGACGGAGCAACGCCGCGUGAGAGAUGGAGGUCUUCGGAUCGUAAUACUCUGUUAUGAGGGAAGAACAAAUUUGUAAGGAACUAUGCACGUCGUGACGGUACCUAAUAAGAAAGCAACGGCUAACUACGUG
rnacentral:rRNA from 1 species